GACGAACGCUGGCGGCGUGCUUAACACAUGCAAGUCGAACGGAAAGGCCCUGCUUUUGUGGGGUGCUCGAGUGGCGAACGGGUGAGUAACACGUGAGUAACCUGCCCUUGACUUUGUGAUAACUUCAGGAAACUGGGGCUAAUACCGGAUAGGAGCUACUGCUGAAUGGUGGGGGUUGGAAAGUUUCGGCGGUUGGGGAUGGACUCGCGGCUUAUCAGCUUGUUGGUGGGGUAGUGGCUUACCAAGGCAUUGACGGGUAGCCGGCCUGAGAGGGUGACCGGCCACAUUGGGACUGAGAUACGGCCCAGACUCCUACGGGAGGCAGCAGUGGGGAAUAUUGCACAAUGGGCGGAAGCCUGAUGCAGCAACGCCGCGUGCGGGAUGACGGCCUUCGGGUUGUAAACCGCUUUCGCCUGUGACGAAGCGUGAGUGACGGUAAUGGGUAAAGAAGCACCGGCUAACUACGUG
rnacentral:rRNA from 1 species